AGUGCAUGUGGUGGAUGCCUUGGCGAUUACAGGCGAUGAAAGACGUGUUAGCCUGCGAAAAGCGACGGGGAGCUGGCAAAAAGCUUUGAUCCGUCGAUCUCUGAAUGGGGAAACCCGACCCGCAAGGGUCAUUCCUGAUUGAAUACAUAGAUCAGGUAAAGCGAACCCAGGGAACUGAAACAUCUAAGUACCUGGAGGAAAAGAAAUCAACCGAGAUUCCGAAAGUAGUGGCGAGCGAAAUCGGAACAGCCGGCAACUUUUAGCUUAUGUGUUAACAGAACAGUCUGGAAAGGCUGGCCAUAGUGGGUGAUAGCCCCGUAAGUGAAAACACAGAAGUGGAACUAGGGUUGCGACAAGUAGGGCGGGGCACGAGAAACCCUGUCUGAACAUGGGGGGACCAUCCUCCAAGGCUAAAUACUCGUAAUCGACCGAUAGUGAACCAGUACCGUGAGGGAAAGGCGAAAAGAACCCCGGAAGGGGAGUGAAAUAGACCUGAAACCGCAUGCAUACAAACAGUGGGAGCGGACUUGUUCCGUGACUGCGUACCUUUUGUAUAAUGGGUCAGCGACUUACAUUCAGUAGCGAGCUUAACCGAAUAGGGGAGGCGCAGCGAAAGCGAGUCUGAUAAGGGCGAUAGUUGCUGGGUGUAGACCCGAAACCAAGUGAUCUAUCCAUGGCCAGGAUGAAGGUGUGGUAACACACACUGGAGGUCCGAACCCACUAAUGUUGAAAAAUUAGGGGAUGAGCUGUGGAUAGGGGUGAAAGGCUAAACAAACUUGGAAAUAGCUGGUUCUCUCCGAAAACUAUUUAGGUAGUGCCUCAUGUAUCACUCUCGGGGGUAGAGCACUGUUAUGGCUAGGGGUCUAUUGCUGACUACCAAACCAUUGCAAACUCCGAAUACCGGGAAGUGCGAGCAUGGGAGACAGACAUCGGGUGCUAACGUCCGGUGUCAAGAGGGAAACAACCCAGACCGCCGAUUAAGGUCCCCAAGACAUAGUUAAGUGGAAAACGAAGUGGGAAGGCUAAAACAGUCAGGAUGUUGGCUUAGAAGCAGCCAUCAUUUAAAGAAAGCGUAAUAGCUCACUGAUCGAGUCGUCCUGCGCGGAAGAUGUAACGGGGCUCAAACUAUGCACCGAAAUCGCGGAUNNAAGUGCGAAUGCUGACAUGAGUAGCGAUAAAGGGAGUGAAAGGCUCCCUCGCCGAAAGCCCAAGGUUUCCUGCGCAACGUUCAUCGGCGCAGGGUGAGUCGGUCCCUAAGGCGAGGCAGAAAUGCGUAGUCGAUGGGAAACAGGUUAAUAUUCCUGUACCUCAAUGCAAUGCGAUGUGGGGACGGAGAAGGUUAAGCAAGCCGGGUGUUGGAUGUCCCGGUUCAAGCGUGUAGGAAGACUCUUCAGGCAAAUCCGGAGGGUCAAUUCCAAGGCGUGAUAACGAGUGCUCUAUGAGCGCGAAGUUGCUGAUACCCAGCUUCCAAGAAAAGCCACUAAGCUUCAGUUGUAAUGAGACCGUACCGCAAACCGACACAGGUGGGCAGGAUGAGAAUUCUAAGGCGCUUGAGAGAACUCAGGAGAAGGAACUCGGCAAAUUUGCACCGUAACUUCGGGAGAAGGUGCGCCCCGGUAGAGUGUAGAGACUUGCUCUCGAAGCUCGAUGGGGUUGCAGUGAAAUGGUGGCUGCGACUGUUUAAUAAAAACACAGCACUCUGCAAACACGAAAGUGGACGUAUAGAGUGUGACGCCUGCCCGGUGCUGGAAGAUUAAAUGAUGGGGUGCAAGCUCUUGAUUGAAGUCCCAGUAAACGGCGGCCGUAACUAUAACGGUCCUAAGGUAGCGAAAUUCCUUGUCGGGUAAGUUCCGACCUGCACGAAUGGCGUAACGAUCGAGCGACUGUCUUGGCGAGUGACUCGGCGAAUUUGUGGUUCCGGUGAAGA
rnacentral:rRNA from 1 species